GUCGAUGACAAAAACGAUGACGAAGACUUGGCAGGCAAUCCGGCUGUCCAAAAUGAAGCAGAUGCACUUGUAAACUAGCACCCCUUUGGUGUUCCAUCUUUUAUGCAAACUCUAGAUCUCGCAGCCAUGCAUGCCUUGAAAUUUUCUUAGUAUGCAAAUAUGGGUGACGGCAAUGUUGCGGCAGAAGAUUGUGAGUUUAGUAUUGGAAUGGAAUUUGGUUCUAGAGAGUCGGUGACAUCUGUAAUCAAAAGCUAAACUAUCUCUAGAAGAGUUGAUUACACUGUGUAUGAGUCUGAACCGCAGAUAUUCUAUGCAAAAUACAAGGGGUAUGGUGCAGGAUGCGAUUGGCUCAUCCGAGCUAGCUUGAUUUGAAAGAAAAGUUGUUGGAAGAUCAGGAGAUAUAAUGGCAAACAUAGGUACACCAUCGGAACGAUUUCACAAGAUCAUGCCAAGUUAGACUCAGACACAAUUGCAGGUGCUAUUAGGCCAUUGGUUGAAGUAGAGCCAUCGAUAAAGGUGAAGUUUAUUAUUG